AGUUCGGAUUGCAGGCUGCAACCCGCCUGCAUGAAGUUGGAAUCGCUAGUAAUCGCGGAUCAGCAUGCCGCGGUGAAUACGUUCCCGGGCCUUGUACACACCGCCCGUCACACCAUGAGAGUCGGGAACACCCGAAGUCAGUAGUCUAACCGCAAGGAGGACGCUGCCGAAGGUGGGAUUAGCGACUGGGGUGAAGUCGUAACAAGGUAAC
rnacentral:rRNA from 1 species